rnacentral:rRNA from 1 species
UACAGAGGUGGCAAGCGUUGUUCGGAAUUACUGGGCGUAAAGGGCGCGUAGGCGGCCUUCUAAGUCAGACGUGAAAUCCCCCGGCUUAACCUGGGAACUGCGUCUGAUACUGGAGGGCUCGAGUUUGGGAGAGGGAUGUAGAAUUCCAGGUGUAGCGGUGAAAUGCGUAGAUAUCUGGAGGAAUACCGGUGGCGAAGGCGGCAUCCUGGACCAACACUGACGCUGAGGCGCGAAAGCUAGGGGAGCAAACGGG